AGCAGUGUGGCUUAACUGAUAGAGCACAUGCCUGGGAAUCAGAAAGACCUGGGUUCUGAUCCCAGUUCUGCCA
rnacentral:tRNA from 1 species